UCACUGGCAACAUUCGCUUACAGCAUCUUCUUUACUGAUUUUGUUGGUAUAUAUAUAGGGGAUGGUGUGUUGUGACAUUUCAAACACAUUCUCCUGCAGCGAGUAGUUAAGUACUUUUGAGGAAAAUGAAUUUCUGGUUUUCUCUUCUGAUUGUGGUGGCCAUCGUUACGUGCAGCAUGGCUCAGUGGUCCUACAGCAACUAUAACUGGAACAUGCGUAGGUCUGCCUAUCCUUAUGCCUAUAACUGGAAUAGUUAUUCGGACAACUGGAAUAACCCUUCUUACUACUGGAAAUGAACAGGAACUGAAUACAAACAGAGAAUUUGAAACUGAUACUUGGACACCGGAUUUGGAUUGAAAAUUAUCUUCUCUUAUAAAGUUAUGCAAGUCUUCUCUAACUAACACAAGUCUUUCCUUGAACAAUAAAAAUCAUAAAACUGCA